CCCUUAGACGUUCUGGGCCGCACGCGCGCUACACUGACGGAGCCAGCGAGUAUAAACCUUGGCCGAGAGGUCUGGGAAACCUUGUGAAACUCCGUCGUGCUGGGGAUAGAGCAUUGUAAUUAUUGCUCUUCAACGAGGAAUUCCUAGUAAGCGCAAGUCAUCAGCUUGCGUUGAUUACGUCCCUGCCCUUUGUACACACCGCCCGUCGCUACUACCGAUUGAAUGGCUUAGUGAGGCUUCCGGAUUGGUUUAGAGAAGGGGGCAACUCCAUCUUGGAACCGAGAAGCUAGUCAAACUUGGUCAUUUAGAGGAAGUAAAAGUCGUAACA
rnacentral:rRNA from 1 species